rnacentral:rRNA from 1 species
AUUGAACGCUGGCGGCAGGCCUAACACAUGCAAGUCGAGCGAGCGGAGGACGGGAGAGUAAUGCCUGGGAAGUGCGCAGUCGAGGGGGAUAACAGUGGGAAACGACUGCUAAUACCGCAUACGAUUGGAAUGCACAGGUGGGAUUAGCUAGUUGGUGAGGUAAGGGCUCACCAAGGCGACGAUCCCUAGCUGGUCUGAGAGGAUGAGCAGCCACACUUGGACUGAGACACGGCCCAGACUCCUACGGGAGGCAGCAGUGGGGAAUAUUGCACAAUGGGGGAAACCCUGAUGCAGCCAUGCCGCGUGUGUGAAGAAGGCCUUCGGGUUGUAAAGCACUUUCAGCGGGGAGGCGUUACUCGCAGAAGAAGCACCGGCUAACUCCGUGCCAGCAGCCGCGGUAAUAC